rnacentral:rRNA from 1 species
GAUGAACGAUGGCGGCGUGCUUAACACAUGCAAGUCGAACGGUGAACACGGAGAUUGCUCUGUGGGAUCAGUGGCGAAGGGGUGAGUAACACGUGAGCAACCUGCCCCUGACUCUGGGAUAAGCGCUGGAAACGGCGUCAACUACUGGAUAUGUGACGUGAUCGCAUGGUCUGCGUCUGGAAAGAAUUUCGGUUGGGCAUGGGGAGGCGGCCUAUCGGCUUGUUGGGGAGGUGAUGCCUCACCAAGGCGUCGACGGGUAGCCUGCCUGAGUGGGUGACAGGCCACGCAGGGCAUGAGCCACCGCACAGACUCCUACAGCAUGCACAGGUGGAAGAUUUUGCACAUUAGACGCAAGCAGGAUGCAGCAACGCUGCGAGAGGGCAGACGGCGUUCGGGUUGUAAACCUCUUUUAGCAGGAAAGAAGCGAAAGUGACGGUACCUGCAGAAAGAGCGCCGGCUAACUACGUG